rnacentral:rRNA from 1 species
GACGAACGCUGGCGGCGUGCCUAACACAUGCAAGUCGAACGGAGUGUUUAUUUAUAAACACUUAGUGGCGAACGGGUGAGUAACGCGUAGACAACCUACCCUCUAGAUGGGGACAACACCGCGAAAGUGGUGCUAAUACCGAAUGUUGUAAUGUUGUUGCAUAAUGAUAUUACUAAAGGUGGCCUCUAUAUAAAAGCUACCGCUAGAAGAUGGGUCUGCGUCUGAUUAGCUAGUUGGUGAGAUAACAGCUCACCAAGGCAAUGAUCAGUAGCCGGUCUGAGAGGAUGAACGGCCAAACUGGGACUGAGACACGGCCCAGACUCCUACGGGAGGCAGCAGUGGGGAAUCUUCCGCAAUGGACGAAAGUCUGACGGAGCAACGCCGCGUGAGUGAAGAAGGUUUUCGGAUCGUAAAGCUCUGUCUUCAAGGACGAAUGUAGAUAUUGUGAAUAAUGAUAUUUAAUGACGGUACUUGAGGAGGAAGCCACGGCUAACUACGUGCCAGCCGCCGCGGUAA